rnacentral:lncRNA from 1 species
UGAUAAGGAGCCAAAAGAAAAGACAGUUCUUUGAGGGAAGCCUGGGGGUUGUUGGGGGUGGAGCAGCGUGUUUAUGUAUUAGCAUAGGGUAAAUCCAGAUGCCUCUUGGCACUAUGGAUACACUAGCAGCUGAAAGCAGGGCAGACAGGAAGGCUACCUAGGAGCUUCCUGGCAUGGUUUCUUCUUCUUAAUUGCCGUAUCUCAGAGAUCUGAGUGAAUGACCAGGGGAGAGGUCUGAUGCUAGCAACUGUUCAGCACAAACACCUUCUAAAGUAUUAAUGGUGCCCAGUAGGAACUGGAGGAGUCGGCGCGAUCCUCUGAAAGCCAGGAAAUAGCGGGAGCCGCCUGUACCUGGAUAAAACCCACCCGGGAGGAGGCUCCAGGGGACCACAGCUGACUCCUCCAGGCACAGAGGAUUGAGUCAUCCUGCAGGCGUCAGAGCGGGAAACAAGCGGGAAUGGUUGAAGUCUGUGUGAACCUCAGAG